rnacentral:rRNA from 1 species
AUGCCGCGUGCAGGAAGACUGCCCUAUGGGUUGUAAACUGCUUUUAUACAGGAAGAAACACCUCUACGUGUAGAUGCUUGACGGUACUGUAAGAAUAAGGACCGGCUAACUCCGUGCCAGCAGCCGCGGUAAUACGGAGGAUCCAAGCGUUAUCCGGAAUCAUUGGGUUUAAAGGGUCCGUAGGUGGACAAUUAAGUCAGAGGUGAAAUCCUGCUGCCUUCCCUGUGAAAUUGCCUUUGAUACUGGUGGUCUUGAGUUAUUAUGAAGUGGUUAGAAUGUGUAGUGUAGCGGUGAAAUGCAUAGAUAUUACAUAGAAUACCGAUUGCGAAGGCAGAUUACUAAUAAUAUACUGACGCUGAUGGACGAAAGCGUGGGGAGCGAACAGGAUUAGAUACCCUGGUAGUCCACGCCGUAAACGAUGGAUACUAGCUGUUCGGACUU